AUGAAGAGAUUCUUUAUUCUAUAAUAUGUUACUCAAUAGUUAUACAUAAAUAAAUCUUAACAAUACAUCUAUUGGCACCAGAUGAAUUCAUCUUGGAGGGCAAGUUUUCUUUUUAAAACUCAUAUAAGCUAUUGUAUAAUAUUCCAGAUAUAAAUAUGGAGUGUAUCGAAACAUCACCUACUGCAUUAAAAAUUAAAACUUCAUAGUUCAUUGCAACAUCUGUAAUUUUACAAACUUUUUUUGUGUGAGUCUUCAAAAAUGAAUUAAAUUCAAGAAGAACAUCAUUAUUCCAUAAAAAUACAUAACCUGUUACCUUGUAAAAUCUUGUUUACAAAAAAUCUAGCAUAUCAACUCAAUUUAAUGUUGGACAGAAAUUAAAAUUAAAAAAAUUACUUAGUAAUUUGUUAUUGGAUGAAAUAAGAAUUUCCUAUGAUUCAGCUAGGUUAGGAUUUCAUAUUCAAAUUGAUAUUUUCAUAUCUCGACUCUUGUGUAGUUGUAAAAUAAUUCAAUCUGUAUUUAACUUUAAAAAAUAUUAUAACUGUUACAUAAGUAAUGUUUUAAUAAUAAAAUCAGAUUUUCUUUUACAUUUUAUCUUUUAUAUUGAGUCAUUGAACAUUUGACCAUUCCUUUAUCUUUAUAAAAAUCAGCCCCCCUCCCAACCAAAGAAAACUUAACUAUGAAUGAACUUUAAAAAAACAUACUAAUAUGUUAAGAAGGGCAGAAUAGGGAACUGUAUACCUGGAUAACAGUCUGAUGAAAAAUACAUUAAUGUAACUUACUUCCUUAUAAACAUAAAUAAAAUGUAAAUUGAAGAAUUAAAACAGAGGACAGUUCACCUCCCUACUCCAGUUAAAUCUUAUUUGACACAUCUAAUAUUUUUUAAAAACAAUAAGAACAACUUUGGUUGCUGAAGAAAACGAAUUUAAUGUCUUUUAUAUUAAUAACUGUUGGUCCCAUGAUGUUAACAACUCCCUUUUAUUACAGCAUUUUACAUUACAGUCUUUAUAAUUAACUUUAAGUCCCCAUGGCCAAGGCCAUUAAAAAUAUUGUUGGGAUAACAUUUUCCUAAAAAGAUGCUUUUCAAGCAAUACAAUUUUCUUUUUAAAUAUAAGUAGAAAUUGAUGACACAUAAUACUUAUAAAUAUUAUGAAAUCCAUAUUAUAGCUAUUUUGUGUAUUUUUCCUUUGAUAUGUUUUUGUGAUAAUUUUUCAUAUCAUGCUACUUGCUUGAAAUAAAAAAUUAUUGAUAGAAACCAAGGAAAUUGUGCCACUGUCAACGACAUCAUAGACCAAAUAACGAUAAACAUAUUAUCAAUGGUCUUUCAAACUCGAGGAAGUUGUAUGCCACAUCUCAUCUUAGGUUUGUCGCCUUUCGAUGAGAUUGUAUCUGAGAAAAUCCUCUGGUUUGAAAAACCAUAGAUAAUCUAUAACUAUGCAAUACUCAUACAAAUUAAAUACUCUUUACAAAAAAAUCUUAAAUUCACUGAAGACAUAAUGUAAUUUUUUUCUAGUACAAAAUUUCCUAACUGGUGUAGUCUUUAUCCUUUAAUUUCUAAAAUAAGUAUAAAGAGUUACUUCUGAUUUGAUAUCCACUGUAAAUAUGGUAAAAUGUAUAUAAAUAUAAACAGAGUCCGAUUAAUGUGAAUCAUAAACAGUAGUUACAGGUUCCAGUGCACAUUUCUGUGAUCAACUUAUCACGAAUCAUCAUUGCUGAUAGAUAUCAAUAAAAGGAUAUACCAAUAAAAGGAUGAGUGUGAUAAAUCAAUGAGACAUCAAUCAGCAGACACAAAGACAUCUGAAGGUCAAAAUAUGGUCUUCAACAAUAAACAGUACUGUAGCAUAUAUAUCACAGAUAAAACAUCUUCCUGUAUGAAGCUUAUUUGCAGAACUCACAUUUAUCAGGAAUUUUAGGAGAGCUGAUAGUUUACAAAGAUGCAUUAUAACAUGUGGCAUAGAAACAAAA